ensembl:snRNA U6 U6 spliceosomal RNA
UUGCUUCAGCAGCAUGUAUACUAAAAUUGGAAUGAUACAGUGAAGACUAGUAUGGCCUCU